GAUGAAGAACGUAGCGAAAUGCGAUACGUAAUGUGAAUUGCAGAAUUCAGUGAAUCAUCGAAUCUUUGAACGCACAUUGCGCCCGCCAGUAUUCUGGCGGACAUGCCUGUUCGAGCGUCAUUUCAACCCUCAAGCUCAGCUUGGUGUUGGGACUCGCGGUAACCCGCGUUCCCCAAAUCGAUUGGCGGUCACGUCGAGCUUCCAUAGCGUAGUAAUCAUACACCUCGUUACUGGUAAUCGUCGCGGCCACGCCGUAAAACCCCAACUUCUGAAUGUUGACCUCGGAUCAGGUAGGAAUACCCGCUGAACUUAAGCAUAUCAAUAAGCGGAGGA
rnacentral:misc_RNA from 1 species